AGGGAAUCUUCCACAAUGGUCGGUAGUCUGAUGGAGCAACGCCGCGUGAGUGUUGAAGGUUUUCGGAUCGUUAAACUCUGUUUUAAGGGAAGAACCAGUACGUCACGCAAUGGACGUACCUUGUCGUUACCUUAGUAGAAAACGACGGGUCACUACGUGACAGCAGCCGCGGUAAUACGUAGGUGGCAAGCGUUGUCCGGAAUUAUUGGGCGUAAAGCGCGCGCAGGUGGUUUCUUAAGUCUGAUGUGAAAGCCCACGGCUUAACCGUGGAGGGUCAUUGGAAACUGGGAGACUUGAGUGCAGAAGAGGAAAGUGGAAUUCCAAGUGUAGCGGUGAAAUGCGUAGAGAUUUGGAGGAACACCAGUGGCGAAGGCGACUUUCUGGUCUGCAACUGACGCUGAGGCGCGAAAGCAUGGGGAGCAAACA
rnacentral:rRNA from 1 species